rnacentral:rRNA from 1 species
AUGAACGCUGGCGGCGUGCCUAAUACAUGCAAGUCGCGCGAACAGACGAGGAGCUUGCUCCUCUGACGUUAGCGGCGGACGGGUGAGUAACACGUGGAUAACCUACCUAUAAGACUGGGAUAACUUCGGGAAACCGGGGCUAAUACCGGAUAAUAUAUUAAACCGCAUGGUUCAAUAGUGAAAGACGGUUUUGCUGUCACUUAUAGAUGGAUCCGCGCCGCAUUAGCUAGUUGGUAAGGUAACGGCUUACCAAGGCAACGAUGCGUAGCCGACCUGAGAGGGUGAUCGGCCACACUGGAACUGAGACACGGUCCAGACUCCUACGGGAGGCAGCAGUAGGGAAUCUUCCGCAAUGGGCGAAAGCCUGACGGAGCAACGCCGCGUGAGUGAUGAAGGUCUUCGGAUCGUAAAACUCUGUUAUUAGGGAAGAACAAAUGUGUAAGUAACUAUGCACGUCUUGACGGUACCUAAUCAGAAAGCCACGGCUAACUACGUG